UACGUAGGGGGCUAGCGUUGUCCGGAAUCAUUGGGCGUAAAGAGCGUGUAGGCGGCGUGUUAAGUCAGCUGUGAAAUCUCCAAGCUUAACUUGGAACGGUCAGCUGAUACUGAUGUGCUAGAGUGCAGAAGGGGCAAUCGGAAUUCUUGGUGUAGCGGUGAAAUGCGUAGAUAUCAAGAGGAACACCUAUUGCGAAGGCAGCUCGCUGGGACGUUACUGACGCUGAGACGCGAAAGCGUGGGGAGCAAACAGG
rnacentral:rRNA from 1 species